rnacentral:lncRNA from 1 species
CAAAAAAUGAAAGCCAAACAAACGCAUUGACGAGAUGUAUAAAAGAGGGACAAAAAAUACCAAAGGGACUGUCAAACUCAUAAAUCCAAACAAACUGACAACGCCAUGGUUAAAAUUGAAAAAGACAAACAGACAAACAAUAGUACACAUGACACAACAUAGAAAACUAAAGAAUAAACAACACGAACCCCACCAAAAACUAGGGGUAUAAGUACCAAGCCACGUCAAACGAAUAUCACUAAAAACCAUUUAACAGUAAAAGUAAUAUUAAUAAUAGAACAAAGACAAACGAAAGAACUAUAAAACACGUUGUUAAGAUGAUAAACAACAUCAG